CCUACGGGAGGCUGCAGUGAGGAAUAUUGGUCAAUGGACGAGAGUCUGAACCAGCCAAGUAGCGUGAAGGAUGACUGCCCUAUGGGUUGUAAACUUCUUUUAUAUGGGAAUAAAAUGUGCCACGUGUGGGAUUUUGUAUGUACCAUAUGAAUAAGGAUCGGCUAACUCCGUGCCAGCAGCCGCGGUAAUACGGAGGAUCCGAGCGUUAUCCGGAUUGAUUGGGGUUAAAGGGAGCGUUGGUGGCUUGUUAAGUCAGUUGUGAAAGUUUGCGGCUCAACCGUAAAAUUGCAGUUGAAACUGGCAGUCUUGAGUACAUUAGUGGUGGGCGGUAUUCGUUGUGUAGCUGU
rnacentral:rRNA from 1 species